GUCACUCAGAUCUUAUCUAUGUGAACAAGGACAAGCUCGAGGCUCAGCACAAAGGGGAACUUGAUGGAAAAGAGAGACAAAUUGCAGCACUCCACACUGAAAUAGAAAGACUUCAGCUACAAAUUAAGCAAAAAGACAAGGCCCACGCUGAGCUGAAGGGAACAAUUAAAAAGGAAAGAGCUGAACACAUAUCGCAGACUGAAAAGCACAAUGAUGAAGUUGAAGCUCUAAAAACAGAAUUAUCCAAGACCGAUGCGGAUUUACAACAGAGUAAAGAAGAAUGUGAGAAAGUGUACAAGAGACUACAAGAAAAACAGGAGGCAUACGAUGCUCUAGUGGGUGAUCCAAGGUCACACUCUCCAGACUGGGUGGACAAUACAGAGCAAGUCCAACAUGGAGAUUCUGAGGAGGGAAUGUGCCAAUUUUCAACUCAGUCCUGUUGUGAUGAGAGUCAGCUUCGUCUUCUUCCAUGCCUUCAUUCUGCAUGCAAGCCAUGCCUUGAUCACCAAGCUACACAGGCCGAAGAGAACUGCAUACACUGUCCUUCCUGUGGUCGUGAGUUCACCAUGGAGCAGACAACAGUAGAUCAUGUCAGACGCAAUGAAGCUGCCUAUAAAGUCAACGCUGAUGGUGAGAUGAAAUGCAGCUACAUCGAAGGGAAUCAUGAUGCUAAGGCUGUGGUGUACUGUCACGAGUGUGAUGAGAAGCUCUGCUCUGACUGCCAUAAACACCACGACACGCCGAAACGGAAUCGAAAUCACAGAGUAACUGAGAUCAACCAGGCCGAGAAUAUCCCUAUGAAUCAGUGGCUGAAGGACCGUAACUGCAGAGACCACCCUGACAACAAACUGCAGCUAUAUGACCACACGUGUAAGAAGGCAAUCUGUCUUAUAUGUAAACAUGGGGCCCACGAGAUGCACCAGAAUGAAGAUUUUUUAUCAGGCCUAUGACGCUGCAAAGGAUCAGCUGGAGGAACAAGUGCAGAAGCAACAACUUAAACUGAAAGAUGUCACUGGCAGAAUGGGAAGUGUCACCAGACACCAAAAUGAACUGGGUAAUACUCAGAGAAAGCUGCAAGAAGAUGCCGCUACAGUUUGCACUAGUGUUGCUGUAAGGUUCCUUCGUCGACAGAGACAACUGAUGAAGGAGAUUCUAAUGAGUCUACAGGCCCCUUUUGUAAUGGUUCAAGAGAAACUUGACACUUUACAUGGCGUCCAUACUUCAAUAGUAUCGGCGAUAGACUACACCCAGAGAACACUUGAAUCUACAAGACGAGAGGAGCUCAUUACUCUCACCGAUGUACUGCAGACGAAAUGUGAUGAAAAUCAGAAGCUGGAACUUCCAGAAGAUGACACACAAGACACGAGAAUCCUUCUUUCCUUUCAAGGCCAGAGAGCUCUGGAGGAACUUAUCGACACAUUUGGUGGUCUCGCCUCCAGUCUCAACAUGGAUCAUAUUCCAGAUUCUCAACCUACUUCACAAGAUCUGCUGGCGACGAUAAGGAGAGAACGAGAAACCAUCACGAUGCAUGAAGGGCGGUGGCAACAGCUUCAACAGAUGAUACAUCGCAUCCCAGAACUCAAAGGAUCAGACAGCAGAAUGGCGAGAUCACAGGAACCUGAACAGCUAACAUCACAAGAAGUGCAUGGCAUUGUCACAAAUCUCAUAACCGGAGCAUUCAUCCCCGGUGAGACAAUUCCACGUGGUAUUACGUUGCAAGGCUAUGCCACAUUGCACGUCAUAAGACAGGACCGCAGUGUUAAUUUCAUCAUCUGUCCUAAACUCCAACUGGACGCUGGUCGAGUCAACACACGCUACUGCCAUGUUACUACAGACGGUGAGCUGGUCAACUCGCGGCCAGCCACACAACACACGGACAGUGGCAGACUACAGAGAUUGUUCGGCACGUGUAGCUCCACCCCCAUCCCCCUUCCUCCAUCCCCCUCUAGUGUCACCCCUGUCCCCCACACAACACGAUACUGGGAGACCAACACCAGGGUGGGUGGAGUGUGGUGUCCUGUCCUGGAGAUGGGUGUGGGGGAGGAGCGCCAGGUAGACAGCGGGGUGUAUGUUUGUCACCAGCGCCGCUCCUGGUGUGUCCGUGUAGGGAUAUGUCGCACACACCGGGGGAGUGUCUGCACCAGGGUGUGUCUGGCGGGGAAGGAGGGGAAGUGUUACAGAAACACAAUGUCUGACUCACCCGGCACACAGGCCACCCUCCACUAUGGCGUUGUGUUGGAUGUCGGAAGGGGUAGAAUAGGAUUUAUUGACGUAGACAGGUCGGUUGUUUUAGGGAAAGUUGAUGUGGAGUUCAAGGAGGAUCUUCUCCCUGCGUUUUCUGUCUGUGCGGUCAGUGACUUCACAGUAAACAUGAAGGUGGUCAGUGGGGAGGAGAUCCUCAUGUCUGACAUCAAGAAAUCACUCAUUAAUGAAGCCCUGGCCUAAGAAAUAAACUACACAUGACCCAGUGUAAACUUGUAAAUAUCACACAUCUACUUUAACAGACAAAUUCAAUACAACAGAACUGAAAGAAGCGGACAUAGAAGUUACCUGUUUAUGUGUUGUAUUUUUCAUUUGUGUACUAGAAGCGUUUUACAUCCACACAAGAGUAUUGUUAUGAUUAUUAUUAUGUGAUAACUGAUCAGUUUAUGAAACAUUUCCCACCUUUCUGGGACAUGUCACAACUAACAACAGAGUUGAUGAUUGAGUAAAAAUUUGUUUCAAAUCAUGAAUAUCUUGACAUAUUUUGUUUCUACCCUGUGAAAAGAAAUAAUUUAAAUACCCAUAUGUAGAGGUUAGAGAUUGAAAUAUAAUAUUUGUAGCUGUAAAAUAGACAUGUUAAUGUCAGUUCAGUUAGAAAAUGAAAGUGAUUGAAGCGGACAUAUAAUGUCCCAGUUUAAAUGUGCCAUGGUACUUGUGUUAGGAAAGAAAUGUAGCUACUAAACUGUCCGUUUCUUUAUUCUAUCAGUCCUGUUGUGUUUGGAAAUAAUUUAUAUUCCCUACAGAGGGUUUGCUAUGUGUAUUUUUUUCUUUGUUAAUUUAUCCCGAUGUACAUUUAUAUGUGUGUUUAAAAUUGAAAGUUGAAAGUUGUGUGUGAGUUACUGUCGUGAAACACUUGGUCUACCUCUAACAAAGGGGUGUGUAGAGAUGGAUGUGCCACUCUUAGAGUUCCACACCAAUUUUAAUUCCAGGCUUUAUUUUUGGUCAGUAUGACAUGAGUUGACCUUAUACAACACCUACUGUCUAUCCCCGUUGUGUUGGACUCAGAUCUGCCUACUCCUCCAUUAAAUUACAAGACUUAACCAGGGGGAUAAAUUAUCCCCAGAAUCCCGCUUUAGAGAACUGUUUGUAUUCAACAUAGACUUGUUGACUUACCUGAUAAAUGUAUGUUUGACUUUCUAUGUUUCUUAUUGUAUGUAUAUGAUAACAUGUCUGAUGUUCAUUGUGUAAGAUAUGCUAGGUAUUAGCUUAUGUUAUUUUAUAUGCAUUUGAAUAAAUACUGGCAUCAAUGCU
rnacentral:misc_RNA from 1 species